UUCCGGUUGAUCCUGCCGGACCCCACUGCUAUUCGAGAUGGACUUAAGGUAUUGCUAGUCGAACGACCAGAACUAUGUCUGGAAGGUGGCCCCACUGCUCCAGUAACCACGGUAGCUUAACCUACCCUUAGGACGUGGAUACUCCCGAGAAAAUUGGGUUAAUCCGCGAUAGAUGUAAUGUCCUGGAAAUGGUAUUACGUCCAAAAGUAUUCCAUACAUGUUUGGAAAUAUGCCUAAGGAUGGGGCUGCGGCCCGAUCAGGCUGUUGGUGAGGUAAUGGCUCACCAAACCUUUGACCGGUACGGGCCAUGAGAGUGGUAGCCCGGAGAUGGACACUGAGACAAGGGUCCAGGCCCUAAGGGGCGCAGCAACCGCGAAACCUCCACAAUGCACUCACGUGCGAUGGGGCUAUCUCGAGUGCCACCUGAUGAAGGUGGCUUUUCCUAGGUCUUCAAAACCUUGGGAAUAAGAGGGGGGCAAGACUGGUGUCAGCCGCCGCGGUAACACCAGCCCCUCGAGUGGUGGGGAUGAUUAUUUGGCCUAAAGCGUCCGUAGCCGGCCGUGUAAGUCUCCCGUUAAAUCCAGCGUCUCAAGCGUUGGACUGCGGGAGAUACUGUACGGCUAGAGAGUGGGAGAGGUCAGCGGUAUUCUGGGGGUAGGGGCGAAAUCCUUUGAUCCCCGGAGGACCACCAGUGGCGAAGGCUGCUGACUAGAACACGUCUGACGGUCAGGGACGAAAGCUGGGGUAGCGAACCGGAUUAGAUACCCGGGUAGUCCCAGCCGUAAACGAUGCAUGCUAGGUGUUGGGUUGGCCACGCGCCACCCCAGUUCUUCAGGGAAGCCUUUAGGCAUGCCGCCUGGGAAGAUAACUAUCAAGACAGGAAACAAAGAAAUUGGCGGGGGAGCCACGCCUGGCGUGGAGCUUGGAUGCAAUUGGAUUCAACGCCGGG
rnacentral:rRNA from 1 species